UACGAAGGGUGCAAACGUUGCUCGGAAUCAUUGGGCGUAAAGCGCACGUAGGCGGCCUCGCAAGUCUGAUGUGAAAUCCCUCGGCUCAACCGAGGACGUGCAUCGGAAACUGCGGGGCUUGAGUACUGAAGAGGAUCGCGGAAUUCCCGGUGUAGAGGUGAAAUUCGUAGAUAUCGGGAGGAACACCAGUGGCGAAGGCGGCGCUCUGGACCGAGACUGACGCUGAGGCGCGAAAGCGUGGGGAGCAAACAGG
rnacentral:rRNA from 1 species